rnacentral:rRNA from 1 species
GAUGAACGCUGGCGGCGUGCCUAAUACAUGCAAGUCGAGCGAAUGGAUUAAGAGCUUGCUCUUAUGAAGUUAGCGGCGGACGGGUGAGUAACACGUGGGUAACCUGCCCAUAAGACUGGGAUAACUCCGGGAAACCGGGGCUAAUACCGGAUAACAUUUUGAACCGCAUGGUUCGAAAUUGAAAGGCGGCUUCGGCUGUCACUUAUGGAUGGACCCGCGUCGCAUUAGCUAGUUGGUGAGGUAACGGCUCACCAAGGCAACGAUGCGUAGCCGACCUGAGAGGGUGAGCGGCCAAACUGGGACUGAGACACGGCCCAGACUCCUACGGGAGGCAGCAGUAGGGAAUCUUCCGCAAUGGACGAAAUUCUGACGGAGCAACGCCGCGUGAGUGAUUAAGGCUUUCGGGUCGUAAAACUCUGUUGUUAGGGAAGAACAAGUGCUAGUUGAAUAAGCUGGCACCUUGACGGUACCUAACCAGAAAGCCACGGCUAACUACGUGCCAGCCGCCGCCGUAA